GAUGAACGCUGACAGCAUGUUUAACACAUGCAAGUCUACUUGAUCCUUCGGGUGAUGGUGGCGGACGGGUGAGUAACGCGUAAAGAACUUGCCCUGCAGUCUGGGACAACAUUUGGAAACGAAUGCUAAUACCGGAUAUUAUGUGAGUUUCGCAUGAAAUUCAUAUGAAAGCUAUAUGCGCUGCAGGAGAGCUUUGCGUCCUAUUAGCUAGUUGGUGAGGUAACGGCUCACCAAGGCGAUGAUAGGUAGCCGGCCUGAGAGGGUGAACGGCCACAAGGGGACUGAGACACGGCCCUUACUCCUACGGGAGGCAGCAGUGGGGAAUAUUGGACAAUGGACCAAAAGUCUGAUCCAGCAAUUCUGUGUGCACGAUGAAGUUUUUCGGAAUGUAAAGUGCUUUCAGUUGGGACGAAGUAAGUGACGGUACCAACAGAAGAAGCGACGGCUAAAUACGUGCCAGCAGCCGCGGUAAUACGUAUGUCGCAAGCGUUAUCCGGAUUUAUUGGGCGUAAAGCGCGUCUAGGCGGUUUGGUAAGUCUGAUGUGAAAAUGCGGGGCUCAACUCCGUAUUGCGUUGGAAACUGUCAAACUAGAGUACUGGAGAGGUGGGCGGAACUACAAGUGUAGAGGUGAAAUUCGUAGAUAUUUGUAGGAAUACCGAUGGGGAAGCCAGCCCACUGGACAGAUACUGACGCUAAAGCGCGAAAGCGUGGGUAGCANACAGG
rnacentral:rRNA from 1 species